AUACAGGGGGUGCGAGCGUUAAUCGGAAUUACUGGGCGUAAAGAGUACGUAGGCGGUUGCUUAAGUCAGAUGUGAAAGCCCCGGGCUCAACCUGGGAACUGCAUUUGAAACUGAGUGACUAGAGUUUAGGAGAGGGGAGUAGAAUUCCGGGUGUAGCGGUGAAAUGCGUAGAGAUCCGGAGGAAUACCAGUGGCGAAGGCGGCUCCCUGGCUUAAAACUGACGCUGAGGUACGAAAGCGUGGGUAGCAAACAGGAUUAGAUACCCCAGUAGUCC
rnacentral:rRNA from 1 species